GCCUUGAAAAUCCAAGCCGGGUCACAGUGAAACCUGGAACGCACAUUCCAGUGGGUGAGCAAAGUUUCUCACUACGCAUCCGAUCGUGAACCACGCGGUACAAGCAAGCGGAAGCACAGCGUGAGAUGGUAGUAUGCGUGGUCACAAUCAGACGGAGUUACAAGUAAAAGAGUGAAGCUACGUUAACAUACAAAAGAAAAGAUCAUAUUAAAUGCGGAAGGCAGCUAGUAAUAAUUUACAAAGUAGGUAGGUAUAUUAUAUUAUCAAGGUGAAAUACUAACUAUUAAAAGGCUAUUAUAGGUCUAAUGUAAUUUGAAAAAGAUUAAAUGAUUAUUAAACAAAAUGAAAGGCUUGCAUUGGCUAAAUACAGUAAAAUAUGGUAAAAUGAUUUUCUAAAGAACAAUGCAAGGUCAUCCAUGACACGUGGGUUAGCUACGAAAUAAAACUAUCCUAAUACGGCGAAUAAUUCAGUACUUACCCGUAUAACGGGUUUACAA